rnacentral:rRNA from 1 species
AGCGAACGCUGGCGGCAGGCUUAACACAUGCAAGUCGAGCGGGCAUCCUUGUGGUGUCAGCGGCAGACGGGUGAGUAACGCGUGGGAACGUGCCCUUCGGUUCGGAAUAACUCAGGGAAACUUGAGCUAAUACCGGAUACGUGCGAGAGCAGAAAGGUUUAUCUGCCGAAGGAUCGGCCCGCGUCUGAUUAGCUAGUUGGUGAGGUUAUGGCUCACCAAGGCGACGAUCAGUAUCUGGUCUGAGAGGAUGAUCAGCCACACUGGGACUGAGACACGGCCCAGACUCCUACGGGAGGCAGCAGUGGGGAAUAUUGGACAAUGGGGGCAACCCUGAUCCAGCCAUGCCGCGUGAGUGAUGACGGCCUUAGGGUUGUAAAGCUCUUUUCUCCGGGACGAUAAUGACGGUACCGGAGGAAUAAGCCCCGGCUAACUUCGUG